AUGUCAAGAGUAUAAAAAGGCAUAGAACAAUUCUUCUUUACAAUAUAUUCUUUAAAUUUCCAAGUUAUAAUUUUUAAAAGUCAAUCAUGAAAGUUUUAUCAACUUGUUUGGUAGCAGCAGUUUUAGUUAUUUGCUGGGCUACAUUUGGAGAGGCUGCGGGAGGAGCAUCUAUACAUAAGAUGGGGGAAACAGGUGGAGCAGCAAUACACAAACAUUAGCGUGUAAAGAUCUGUCGCCUUAUUAAAAAUGGAACUUAAGUUCCAUAAAGAGGACACAAUUUCUUCAAUAGUUAAUUGUGUAUAAAUAUUUAAAUGAAUAAAAAAAUUUAAUUGAA